GGAAAGGAUGGUCUUCAUAAGGGCUGUGGGUGACAUUAGCUGCUGCAUGCAGGAGGAUCACACCGACCUUCUCCUGGUAGCUGCAAGAUUCAUUAACUGUGUGUAAAUACUGGUGUUAAGCUCUGUUUGCUUCCCGCUUACCGUCUACACACCUGGGGAGCCCAAUCUACUCACAAGAAGGCUUAUUCUGUUCUGACCACAGAGAGUUCAUCAGACGCUUCACGUGAUAGCCCUACUGGUGAAUGGAUAAAGAAGAUGUGAUCCAUAUAAAUACACAGCAGAAGACUACUUAACCACCUGGAAGGAUGAAUACUUGCCAUUUACAUCAACAUGGAUGGAACUGGAAGGUAUUAUGCUGAGUGAA